rnacentral:rRNA from 1 species
AUCCUGGCUCAGGAUGAACGCUAGCUACAGGCUUAACACAUGCAAGUCGAGGGGAAACGAUAUUGGAAGCUUGCUUCCGAUAGGCGUCGACCGGCGCACGGGUGAGUAACGCGUAUCCAACCUGCCCAUCACUUGGGGAUAACCUUGCGAAAGUAAGACUAAUACCCAAUGACGUCUCUAGAAGACAUCUGAAAGAGAUUAAAGAUUUAUCGGUGAUGGAUGGGGAUGCGUCUGAUUAGCUUGUUGGCGGGGUAACGGCCCACCAAGGCGACGAUCAGUAGGGGUUCUGAGAGGAAGGUCCCCCACAUUGGAACUGAGACACGGUCCAAACUCCUACGGGAGGCAGCAGUGAGGAAUAUUGGUCAAUGGACGAGAGUCUGAACCAGCCAAGUAGCGUGCAGGAAGACGGCCCUAUGGGUUGUAAACUGCUUCUAUAAGGGAAUAAAGUGAGUCUCGUGAGACUUUUUGCAUGUACCUUAUGAAUAAGGACCGGCUAAUUCCGUG